rnacentral:rRNA from 1 species
AGUGAACGCUGGCGGUAGGCCUAACACAUGCAAGUCGAACGGCAGCACAGUAAGAGCUUGCUCUUACGGGUGGCGAGUGGCGGACGGGUGAGGAAUACAUCGGAAUCUACUUUUUCGUGGGGGAUAACGUAGGGAAACUUACGCUAAUACCGCAUACGACCUACGGGUGAAAGCAGGGGAUCUUCGGACCUUGCGCGAUUGAAUGAGCCGAUGUCGGAUUAGCUAGUUGGCGGGGUAAAGGCCCACCAAGGCGACGAUCCGUAGCUGGUCUGAGAGGAUGAUCAGCCACACUGGAACUGAGACACGGUCCAGACUCCUACGGGAGGCAGCCGUGGGGAAUAUUGGACAAUGGGCGCAAGCCUGAUCCAGCCAUACCGCGUGGGUGAAGAAGGCCUUCGGGUUGUAAGGCCCUUUUGUUGGGAAAGAAAAGCAGCAGGUUAAUACCCCGCUGUUCUGACGGUACCCAAAGAAUAAGCACCGGCUAACUUCGUG